GACAAGGGGAAUUCAGGGGAAAUUGCAUACGGUGUUUCUCAGGGAGGCUUAUAGGAAGGGAGAGUUGAUUGAGCCAAAUGAUCUGUAUUUAGCUAGGAGAAGGCUGGCUGAGUUGGUUUUGAUGAGUCCAAGGAAAGCCAAUAUGGAUAAAGAAUUGGUUAAUUAUAGAAGGCGGGGAGACGAUGAUGAAAUAGCUGCUGUGAGAAGAGACAGUGUCGAAGUUGGUUUUGAUGAGUCCAAGGAAAGCGAAAAUGGAUAAAGAAUUUGUUAAUUAUAGAAGGCGGGAAGACGAUGAUGAAAUAGCUGAUGUGAGAAGAGACAACGCCGAGAAUGAAGGAGAUCAUUCAA
rnacentral:lncRNA from 1 species